rnacentral:rRNA from 1 species
UACAGAGGGUGCGAGCGUUAAUCGGAAUUACUGGGCGUAAAGCGCGCGUAGGCGGCUUUGCAAGUCGGGUGUGAAAUCCCCGGGCUCAACCUGGGAAUUGCAUCUGUGACUGCAUAGCUAGAGUACGGUAGAGGGGGAUGGAAUUCCGCGUGUAGCAGUGAAAUGCGUAGAUAUGCGGAGGAACACCGAUGGCGAAGGCAAUCCCCUGGACCUGUACUGACGCUCAUGCACGAAAGCGUGGGGAGCAAACAGG